rnacentral:rRNA from 1 species
AACGAACGCUGGCGGCAGGCUUAACACAUGCAAGUCGAACGCCCCGCAAGGGGAGUGGCAGACGGGUGAGUAACGCGUGGGAAUCUACCCAGUCCUUCGGAACAACACAGGGAAACUUGUGCUAAUACCGGAUACGCCCUACGGGGGAAAGAUUUAUCGGGAUUGGAUGAGCCCGCGUAAGAUUAGCUAGUUGGUGGGGU